AGGUUGAAUGGAGUGCUGAGGACUUUUGGAGGGUGGCCAGUAGGAUGAGUUGGAUCUGUUCUUCGUAGCAAAGGUGAUGCCGUUGCAGACAGGUACCUGAAAUAAAAUUCACACUCAUCUCUAAUAUCAGCAAGUAGGUGAUCUGGUUGUGCCCCUGGCCCGCUGCCGCUGACGGAAAUAUGAAGCUGUUGGCUAGGGACAAGAAGGUUGCAGUUCCACUGCAGCCAACUGCCCAUUUUACUGGUCAAACUACUUAGUGGGUACAAGCAUGUCAUUCUGGACAUAAAUACUACUCUUGCACCCUCCUGAUGUUGGCUGGACAAAAACAAAUGGUGUUGGGGGCUUGGGGCUUUCAGUUCUAGGCCUUGGGAAGCGGCCUAUGGAUCCAUUGCUUGUGAUCACCAGGGCCAAUUCUACCCAAAUGCAGCUAAUGCCCUCUCUAUGGAGGCUCAUGCUAUUCGAGAUGGUGUGAUUCUUGCGACUUUGCGAGGGAUAUGAAGUUUCAGAAAGUAAUUAUUGAAACUGAUUCUCUGGUGCUCUCAAAGCGGCUGAACAAUGGUAACUUUAAGCGUUCAGAAAUUGCACCUAUUCUCUAUGAUGUAAUGGAGCUUAGCAAGGGUUUUUCUUGGUUCCCUAUUGUUUUUAUUUGAAGAGUAGGCAAUGUUGCCGCACAUCUCUGUGCUCAUACUAUGGUAAGGAAAGGAGAAGUACAUUUGGACUGAAUAUGCACCUGAUUUUAUCUGUAAUUGCCUUUCCGUUGAUUGUAACCCUGUUGCUAUGGAAUGAAAAGCUCCUUAAUCGCAAUUUUUUCGUGUAUAUUUGAAGUUUUUUUCACACACAUGCCAUCAGC